rnacentral:tRNA from 1 species
GAGGGUAUAGUUCAGUGGUAGAGUGCAUGCUUAACAUGCACGAGGUCCUGGGUUCAAUCCCCAGUACCUCCA